GAGGAAAGUCCGGACUCCUUAUAGAAGGUGAUCGUUGGAGAAAUUUCAAUAUAAGUGAUUAUGAGGAUAGUGCCACAGAAAAAUACCACCUUGUUAUAUGUUUAUGUCAAGGUAAGGGUGCAAAGGUGUAUUAAGAGUGCACCAGUAGUAUUGUUGAAAUACUUGCUCGGUAAACCCCAUCGAGGAGCAAAGAGGUAAUACAUUUAUUAUCUAUGAAUCCAUAUUGCAUGGUUUACUUAUAAGUGAAUACCGCAUUAAGUAGCACGUGUGGAUAUGCUACUUAAGAUUAAUAACUGCCCUUUCACCAAUAAGUAAGGUGGAAGAACAAAAUCCGGCUUAU
rnacentral:RNase_P_RNA from 1 species